UUGCCGCGCCAAACCCUAACCCUAGAGGGCUUGCCGUCGUCGACUCUGCUGCCAUGGCCAAGAAGCGAAAGCUCACGCCUUCCUCUGCCGUCAAAGCGCCCGCGCCCGUCGUAGAACCCAAGGAGGAGCCCGUCCAAGAAGAGUCCGGCCCGGAUGUCCCGAUCGAUGAGUCCCAGGAGGAACGAACCCCGACCGGAGCCGAUGCGAACCCUCCGGUCCAUGAGAACGCCCAAUCCGACGCGGCCUCUGAAGACCUUGGUGGCGCCUCCGCCGGGGGCGUCGGUGUCGGCAACGACGCGGAGGAGGUGGUGGAGAACGAUCCGACCUCGAUCCAGAAGCUCCUCGAGCCAUUCCCCAGGGACCACCUGGUCGAGCUCCUUCGCGACGCCGCUGUGAGGCACCCGGACGUGCUGGCGGAGAUCCACCGCAUCGCCGACCUGGACCCUGCCCACCGCAAGAUUUUCGUCCAUGGCCUCGGUUGGGACACCAACGCAGAGACGCUCACCGCCGCCUUUCGCCAAUAUGGCGAGAUCGAGGACUGCAACGCGGUCAUGGACAAGGCGACCGGCAAGUCCAAGGGUUAUGGCUUCAUCCUCUUUAAGCACCGUGCCGGCGCCCGCCGCGCCCUCGAGCAGCCUCAGAAGAAGAUCGGCAACCGCGUGACCGCGUGCCAGCUCGCGUCCGCUGGUCCUGUGCCACCACCAGCACCGCCGGUGUCGGAGUACACCCAGAGGAAGAUUUUUGUCAGCAACGUUGGGGCGGAGAUCGAUCCCCAGAAGCUGUUACAGUUCUUUGCCAAGUUUGGGGAGAUCGAGGAGGGGCCACUAGGGUUGGAUAAGCUGACCGGGAAGCCCAAGGGGUUUGCUUUAUUUGUUUACAAGACGAUUGAGAGUGCAAAGAAAGCAUUGGAGGAGCCCCACAAGAAUUUCGAUGGUCACAUUCUGCAUUGCCAGAAGGCAAUCGAUGGACCGAAGCCAAACAAGCUGGGGUUCCAGUUUCAGGCUACAGCGGCUCACCAUGGUAGCUUGCAUCAGGUUGCUGGUGGACUGCUUGGUUCACACUUUUCGAGGACUGACAAGCCCGGGUAUUUGGGAGGUGUCGGGAGUCAUCUGUCUAGUGCCUCAGGUGCUGGGCACCUGAUGGCCCCUUCAGCGAGUGGAUUGGGUUUCAACCAGGCUUCUCAACCAGCUGCUGCUGCAGUGGCUGCAGCAGCAGGGUUGAAUCCUGCAUUGGGGCAGGCUCUGACUGCAUUCCUUGCGUCUCAAGGAGCUGGUUUGGGCUUGACGAACCUUGUGGCAGGAUCAGUCGUGAACCAGGGAGUUCCUGGAUCAUUGGCAAACAGCUCUGGGCAUGGAUUGAACAGUGGUUAUGGUGGUGGCCUUGGGGGAAACAUUAAUACGGGGGUGAUCGGAGGAUAUGGCUCACAGGCACAUACGCAGGGUGGAUAUGGGAAUGCUUCGAUUGGACAGGGAGGCGCUGGAAGGAACCAAACAGGAUUUGGGCAAAUGGGUGGCCUAGGCCCUUACCUGGGUCGUUAGUUAAGUGCAGUGCGUGAAACAUGCAGGUUAUGUAAAUUGCUUGGUCAUUCUCAAGUUGGUGAUAGAGAUGAUGCAUGCGUCAAGGUAAAAGGGAAAAAUGUGUUCUUUAAUAUGCAUGGUUAGUCAUUAUGUGGGGAUGAUGAGAUAUAUGACUGAUCUGUUCGUUCUUGAUUAAUGCUAUUUAUCAAACUUGGCUGUCGGCAGUGAGAUAAUUAUUUCAAAAGAUAUGAUUGAAUCCAAAUUUGUGAGGAUGAAACAGGACUUGAUAUAUGAUUGUUCAGUUGCCAGUUCGUUACACGCCCACUUUCUUGUGCUCAUAACCAGCACAAGUUGGAUGUCUGAGGGUUCAAAAGAAUAAUUGUGGUUGUGGUAUUUGUGCCUACUAACCUAACUGGUAAGGCAACCUUUGAACUGGUGUUGAGGAAUUCAUAUAGAAACUAACUGGUCGAUAUUCUUUUUUGUUUUCUAUUCAUGAAAUUUAUUGAUGUGUUCUCAUUCGUGUUAUCUAAUGAUCUCAAAAGACAAUUCUUCCAGCAUCAUUCAAGCAAGUAUUACAUCAUAUAAAGAUUAUGAUGACCUACAUAUGUACGUGUGUCAAUUGUUUUGUUUUGAUAUCAUACGGUGCUGAGUUGCAUGUAUUAGAAACUUGGUGUGGUACUGUAGCCUGUGAGAAAUUAUCAGUUUUCUGGAAUUUUCAUGCAUAAAAUGUGUUCAUCAGUGUCCCAAGUAGGAGUUGAUGUCUUUGGACCAUUUCAGAUGAUUUAUCUUUUGGCCGGUAGUAUGGAUCUGUGUUUAUGAGAAUAAAUCUGACACUUGGUCUGAGGAUUAACUUAAAUCAUUUGAUAAUUUGAGUCAAAUUUAACACAAAACUGUCUGUUAGACGAGGGGUUUACUUGUAACCGAAUUAUUUGACUGCAACAACCGAUAAUUACUUGUAACAGUCUGUUAGAUAACGUUUGCCCCGACUGAGUACAUGACUGGAGGAUGUGGCCUACAUCGAGCGCAGUCCCUGCCGAUUUCCUUCAUCCCUCGAAUCGUCCUCUAAGUCGGGAGAUUCUGUUUUAGUUAAUUAUCUCUUUGUCCUCUCUAGCCAUGUUUAUUCCUAUUCUCUACUCCGACCUUUUCUCCCCUCCAUGCCGAGGAGGAGCGGAAGCGGAGACCCCUCUCGAUACUCGCCUCCUCCGCCAUCUGGCCUUCGAGAUCUCAGAUCCGUGGGUGUACGGUUCGCUUCUGAAAGCGAAGAAAACGAAAACGAUGGGGCUUUACCUUUGCAAAACUCUUUAGCCGCCUGUUUGCGAAGAAGGAGAUGAGGAUUUCUGGACUUAUUAUGCGCAGGUAUAUACAGAGCACUUGCGCAACAUCUGGUGAGGGUUUGAGGGUUUGUACGAGGGACUUGAUUGGCUUUCCGGCAACAUAGCCUGCAAGAUGACAGAUGCCAUCUGCUAGGUCUCAAAAUGAUUGGAUCAGAUGCCGAACUUCUCAGAUAUAUUACCGGUAAGGUGAGGCUUGGUGCAGGCAAGAACAUCACCUUCUGCAUCUUGAGAGCUCAUUCUUGAUAUAUCCUCCCUAUGCAUUGGGGCUAAUGGUUUGCAAUCAAAUGCCAUUUCAACUUGAAAUAUUUUGUAGGCAAGAACAUUUUGACCUGCUGUAGUUUGAAUCUAGAAAUUCAUCAUCAUCUGUAGACAAGUGCAACUGAUAAAUGAUGUGGACUGAAUUCUGAGGGUC